CAAGAAAGGCUCUUGCCCACAGUUUCCCCUCACUCCCUCUGCCUGUGACCAACCCUGGUGCUUCCCGGUGUGGCCCCUUAUUGUGUGCCUAGCCUCCCAUUUCUAGGAAUCAGCCAUUUCCAAAUAGAUGCCAGUCUCAGGAAGGAAGGCAGAACGAAAGCUUACGGGGCAGCUCAACAGGCUCCAUCUUUCAGCAGAACAUUCUAUUAGAAGGUGCCGAGAGGUAGAUGUGCUUCGCCUCUGGGGGUCUGGUCAUUUUGCUGUGCAAAGAUUGUGAAACCUGGACACUACAUGGGCUGGUGUUGAAGGUGGGAUUCUGUUACAGAAAAAGCUGGAUUUUUUAAAAAAAUAAACAACUCUUGUUUUUAUUGAUCACUCAUUCUGUUUCAAUUACCAUGUGAAAAGUGCCUUACAGGUAUAGACCAAUUUAAUUCUCUAGACCAGUGCUUCCCAAUAGAAACAUAAUGCGAGCCACAUAUAUGAUUUAAAUUUUUCUGGUAGCCACAUUAAAAAAGUAAAAUGAGGGCCACCUGGUUGGCUCAGUGGGUUAAGUGUCUGUCUUCAGCUCAGGUCAUGAUCCUGGAGUCCCGGGAUUGAGCCCUAUAUCGGGCUCCCUGCUCAACAGAGAGCCUGCUUCUCCCCCUGCCCCUGACCCCACUCGUACUCUCUCACUCUCUCUCUCAAAUAAAUACAUAAUAUCUUAAAAAAAAGUAAAAUGAAAUAGGUGAAAUUAAUGUUAAUGAUAUAUUCUAUUUAACCCAAAUACAUCACAAAUAUCAAUCCAGUAUGUAUUCAAUAUAAAAUUAUUAAUGAGAUACUUCACAUUCUUUUCUUGUACUAAGUCUUUGAAAUCUGGUGAGUACAUUCACAGCACACCUCAAUUCGGUCGAGCACAUUUGAGGUGCUCGGCAGCCCCACAAUAUCCCACUUGUGCCUACUGGAUGGCACAGCUCCAGGAAACCCUCCGAGAGAGUGUUACCAGCAUCCCUACUGCCCCCAGGAAAAACGGAGGGACAGAAAGGCUACGUGGUUUUCCUAAGGUCACAUAGCUAAAAGGUGAUCAAGGUGGGAUUUGCAUCCAGGCAGCCAGAUACCAGAGCUGAUAUGUUUAUUCACUAAUCGUUCUUAUCCCUGUGGCUGAGACAAGCGUACUUUGGUAUCCCCGUCCUUGCCCAGGGACCAAUUUGCUUGAGAAGACUGCUUUGGGUUAAAGCAUUUGAGCUUCACUAAUAAAUGUACCAGGCUCCAAAUGAUAACAAACAAAAGCAAAGGAAAGCCUGAAUUUAUAAUUUCAAUAAAACAAACAGAAGAGCACUGGGUCUCUUACCUAAUCAUAAACAAAUAUGGUAAAUUUUCCCUUUACCUUUCUGGACUUUUUUUUUUUUAAAGAUUUUAUUUAUUUAUUUGACAGAGAAAGAGAGAGCACAAGCAGGGGGAGGGCAGGCAGAGGGAGAGGGAGAAGCAGACUCACCACUGAGCAGGGAGCCUGAUGCGGGGCUCGAUCCCAGGACCCUGGGAUCGUGACCUGAGCCGAAGGCAGAUGCUUAGCCGACUGAGCCAUCAGGUGCCCCUACCUUUCUGGACAUUUGAUGACAUUUGGAUUGAUGGAAGACACUUUCCUCCUCCUCACACCUGCUCUAUCAGUCCUGGUCAGAAAUUUUAUUCUGCUAAAGACAUUAAAAAAAAAAAAUGGUGGAGACAUCUGACCAAAUGUGGUAUCUGCUACCACAGCUGGGGGAGUUUUUGGCAACAAAGAAGAUCUAUUUUCAGCAUUCACCUUUGAAGACCUCCCAGGUCCCAAUAAGGGUCCAUGCCAGUGAGGAAGCAUCACCACCCAACAGGGAUAUUCCAGGAGCAUCCUUACCCAG